GCACUGGAACGCUCUUUGAUUUUGCAAGCUCUAGCAUGAAAAGAAUUUUGGAGAGAUACAAAAUGCCUCUGGAGGACUAGCUUGGAACAAUGAAUAUAAGGAAAUGCUGUCUCAAUUUAGAAAUUUGACGGAACAAAAUGAGGAGCUGCAAAGAGAAUUGAGGUACUGUUGUGUUUAUAAUCUCAAAUUUUUUGGAUAGAUAAAAGGUGUAAGAUUAAAGAGUCAUUGUGUUUUAUUCUAAUAAUCUUCUGUGUAGUUGUGUGACGGGUGAAGAUGUGGAGACAUUUACACCAAACCAAUUAGGCUAUCUUGAAGAAAAUCUUGUGCUUGCUGCAAAGAAAGUUAGAGAG